UACGUAGGGUGCAAGCGUUAUCCGGAAUUAUUGGGCGUAAAGAGCUCGUAGGCGGUUUGUCACGUCUGCUGUGAAAACUGGAGGCUCAACCUCCAGCCUGCAGUGGGUACGGGCAGACUAGAGUGCGGUAGGGGAGAUUGGAAUUCCUGGUGUAGCGGUGGAAUGCGCAGAUAUCAGGAGGAACACCGAUGGCGAAAGGCAGAUCUCUGGGCCGUAACUGGACGCUGAGGCACGACAGCGUGGGGAGCAAACAGG
rnacentral:rRNA from 1 species